rnacentral:lncRNA from 1 species
GGUGACGGGCGGCGCCGGCGGACUGGCCGCGACGCGAGGGAGGUCGGGCGGCCGGGGCGCCCUGCGACUGCCGGAGGCCAGAGGCCUGGAGGACCUGCCGCCGCCUUUGUCACCGGUCCCCGCCCCGCUGGACUUGCCCGGGCCGGGGCAGUGGGGCCGGCGCUGGAGGGGCUUGACCGCCCAGGUCCACCCAUUCUUGGAUCUGCCUCGCCGGCCCCCGCGCCCGCCCAACCCCAGCCCAACCCCUCGGCUCCGCGAGUUUGGGUGAGAAGUGCGGCGGCUUUUCCCAGGGAUGGAGUUUAGAAGACGCUAAUCCUAUGUGCGAGCGGCGGACCCCACCCGGACUUCCCGGAGGCGCCCGGUUAGUGAGGCGACGGCGCCCACCUGCGUUCGCGGACUCGCGGCCGCCACUCCCCGAAGCAGCCGGCCCACCCCAGCCCGCGCGGCGCCCCGGAGGGCGGGCUGCACUCCACGUACCUGGCUAGCAGAGCGUCUCCAGGGACAAAAGGUGCCCUGGGAUCAAAGCCGAGCCCCCGCCCCCGCCGGGAUGCUGCCCUCCGGAAGGAGGGGCGCUGCCCCCAAGGCACUGUCCCCGGGCACCCAGGGAGAGGUUCCAUUUCAACCUCCGAUGAAAAAAACGGCCCUCCCAGGUACUUAGGAGGGUCUGAGGGUAAGUGCCAAGACGGAGAAACACGCCGGCCCCUGACAGAAUAUCUCCUGAGGAAUGAGAACUAUCUAGUGGGCAAGGAGGGCUUCCUGCAUAGCAGAGGGCACCCACUCUGAUCGCGCAGCGCCAAGGGGAAAAAAUCACACUCUUCACCGGCUCCCCUGAGCCAGGACAGUCUCCGGUGCAGCCACCCACCUUAUAAUUUUCCGCGGAUGCUGCCUUGAUCAGAUGUCUGAAGAUGACUUUAAGGACUACAAGCGAAUCUCAAGGGGAAAAUUCAGACCUUGAACAACAGCCUUGAACUUUUUCAGGGUUAAACAAGUACUCCCAAGUGGAGUUUCUGUCCUUAUUUCUUCGUUCUUCUCUAAAUUCUUCCAUAUAUUACCAGAACACAGACCUGCCAAAACGACACAGGAUGGCGCUUUGCUUUUUGUUAGUUCUCCAACCUUCCAAACCCUUGGGGCACAUUCAAGCGCUGUGGAAAAACUCCAUUAAACCAAGAGUCGUCUUACUCCAGAUCCCAGACUGCUUGGGAAGUUGGACAUGCAUAUUCCCAAAGAGAAUAGUGUUGGAAGGAGAGAGGAGAGCAGCCAGGGGGUGGGGGGUAGAGGGUAGGAAGAGAGGGCAAGAUGGAGGACUACCACUCGAGGCCAGCCUCUACUGCCUGAUAGGGCGGGAGAACCUAAGAGCCCGUCCAAGGCAACACAAAAGCCAGUGAGGGUAGGUCUUUAAUUGCAGCCAACGAUCAAGAAAGCAACUCCAUCAAAUGACACUGCC